AGAGUUUGAUCCUGGCUCAGAUUGAACGCUGGCGGCAUGCUUUACACAUGCAAGUCGAACGGCAGCACGGGUGCUUGCACCUGGUGGCGAGUGGCGAACGGGUGAGUAAUGCACCGGAACGUACCCAGUAAUGGGGGAUAACACAUCGAAAGAUGUGCUAAUACCGCAUACGCCCUGAGGGGGAAAGCGGGGGAUCGUAAGACCUCGCGUUAUUGGAGCGGCCGAUGCCGGAUUAGCUAGUUGGUGAGGUAAGAGCUCACCAAGGCGACGAUCCGUAGCUGGUCUGAGAGGACGACCAGCCACACUGGGACUGAGACACGGCCCAGACUCCUACGGGAGGCAGCAGUGGGGAAUUUUGGACAAUGGGCGCAAGCCUGAUCCAGCCAUGCCGCGUGAGUGAAGAAGGCCUUCGGCUUGUAAAGCUCUUUCGCAAGGAAAGAAAACUUAUCUACUAA
rnacentral:rRNA from 1 species